UACGGAGGGAGCUAGCGUUAUUCGGAAUUACUGGGCGUAAAGCGCACGUAGGCGGCUUUGUAAGUUAGAGGUGAAAGCCUGGAGCUCAACUCCAGAAUUGCCUUUAAGACUGCAUCGCUUGAAUCCAGGAGAGGUGAGUGGAAUUCCGAGUGUAGAGGUGAAAAUUCGUAGAUAUUCGGAAGAACACCAGUGGCGAAGGCGGCUCACUGGACACAUAUUGACGCUGAGGUGCGAAAAGCGUGGGGAGCAAACAGG
rnacentral:rRNA from 1 species